CUCAGGAUCAGCAGAGCCAGGAAGAUGCUGAGUCACAGGGAGGCAAACCUGCAUGCUCUGUGCCACUAUUCCAUCGGCUGUGGGCACUUUAGAAGCAGGAAUGACAAGGGAGAAGCUACCAUCCAAGACCAGCAGGACGACAUAUCUCGGCUAAGUUACACAGAAUAUUAGAAAGGAGAAGUUGAAAGCCUGGAAACUGUGGAAGUGGGGAUUCUUCUACUUUUGGACUACCAAGCAUAACGAGAUUCAGUGGAGAGAACAGUCUUUAUCUGGGACAUGCUGUUAUUAGGAUGUGCAAGAGGUCUGCAGAAACUGGUGAUACUUCUGAAAGCUUCUGCCUGAAUGUGGGCUUCUGGUUCAAAAUGGCAGAGGACGUGCGUUCAUCUCCUCCUGUGACCAAAAUUACAACUAGCUGUUGAACAACCAUUGACAGGAGGAUGCUGGAACCUACCAAAAACAAAUACCCUUUGUA